rnacentral:rRNA from 1 species
GCACAAGCGUGGAUGAUGUGGUUUAAUUCGAUGCAACGCGAAAACCUUACCCACCUUUGACAUGUACGGAAUCCUUUAGAGAUAGAGGAGUGCUCGAAAGAGAGCCGUAACACAGGUGCUGCAUGGCUGUCGUCAGCUCGUGUCGUGAGAUGUUGGGUUAAGUCCCGCAACGAGCGCAACCCUUGUCAUUAGUUGCUACGAAAGGGCACUCUAAUGAGACUGCCGGUGACAAACCGGAGGAAGGUGGGGAUGACGUCAAGUCCUCAUGGCCCUUAUAGGUGGGGCUACACACGUCAUACAAUGGUCGGUACAGAGGGUUGCCAACCCGCGAGGGGGAGCUAAUCCCACAAAGCCGAUCGUAGUCCGGAUCGCAGUCUGCAACUCGACUGCGUGAAGUCGGAAUCGCUAGUAAUCGUGGAUCAGCAUGUCACGGUGAAUACGUUCCCGGGUCUU